rnacentral:rRNA from 1 species
GAUGAACGCUGGCGGCGUGCCUAAUACAUGCAAGUCGAGCGAACAGACGAUGCUCUUGCUUCUCUGACGUUAGCGGCGGACGUGUGAAUAACGCGUGGAUACCCUACCUAUAAGACUGGUAUAACUUCGGGACACCGGCGCUAAUACCGUAUAAUAUUUUGAUCCGUGUUGUUCAUUAGUGAAAUACGGUCUUUCUGUCACUUCUAGAUGCAUCCGGGCUGCAUUAUCUAGUUGUUAAGGUAACGGCUUACCACGGCAACGAUGCGUAACCGACCUAAGAGGGUGAUAGCCCACACUGGAACUGAGACAAGGUCCAGACUACUAAGGGAGGCAGCAGGAGGGAAUCGGCGGCAAUGGGCGAAAGCAUGACGGAGCAACGCCGAGUGAGUGAUGAAGGUCUUCGGAUCGUAAAAAUCUGUUAUGAGGGAAGAACAGAUGUGGAAGUAAAUGUGCACAUCGUGACGGUACCGAAUCAGAAAGCCACGGCUAACUACGUG